rnacentral:rRNA from 1 species
UGAGGAAUAUUGGUCAAUGGGCGCGAGCCUGAACCAGCCAAGUCGCGUGAGGGAUGACGGCCCCUACGGGUUGUAAACCUCUUUUGUCGGGGAGCAAAUUCCGUUACGUGUAACGGAGUCGAGAGUACCCGAAGAAAAAGCAUCGGCUAACUCCGUGCC